GCCCGGAUGGUGGAAUCGGUAGACACAAGGGAUUUAAAAUCCCUCGGCGUUCGCGUUGUGCGGGUUCAAGUCCCGCUCCGGGUACCA
rnacentral:tRNA from 4 species